CCCUUAGACGUUCUGGGCCGCACGCGCGCUACACUGACACAGGCAACGAGCUUUCCUUUACCGAAAGGUAUGGGUAAUCUUUUGAAACUGUGUCGUGCUGGGGAUAGAUCCUUGCAAUUUUUGAUCUUAAACGAGGAAUUCCUAGUAAGCGCGAGUCAUCAACUCGCGUUGAUUACGUCCCUGCCCUUUGUACACACCGCCCGUCGCUACUACCGAUUGAAUGGCUUAGUGAGGCCUCAGGAUCCGCGCUUGAUGUGUGGAGAAUUUGGACAAACUACGUCAUUUAGAGGAAGUAAAAGUCGUAACA
rnacentral:rRNA from 1 species